GGCGGGCGUGGUGGCGCAUGCCUGUAAUCCCAGCUGCCCAGGGGCUGAGGCAGGACUGUGAGUUCAAGACCAGCCUGGACAACAUAGUGAGACUCUU
rnacentral:sRNA from 1 species